GAUGAAGAACGUAGUGAAAUGCGAUACGUAAUGUGAAUUGCAGAAUUCAGUGAAUCAUCGAGUCUUUGAACGCUCAUUGCGCCUCCUGGUAUUCCGGGGGGCAUGCCUGUCCGAGCGUCAUUGCUGCCCUCAAGCACGGCUUGUGUGUUGGGCCUCCGUCCUCCUCCCGGGGGACGGGCCCGAAAGGCAGCGGCGGCACCGCGUCCGGUCCUCGAGCGUAUGGGGCUUCGUCACCCGCUCUUGUAGGCCCGGCCGGCGCUUGCCGACACAUCAAUCUUUUUUCCAGGUUGACCUCGGAUCAGGUAGGGAUACCCGCUGAACUUAAGCAUAUCAAUAAGCGGAGGA
rnacentral:misc_RNA from 1 species